CGCCUCCCAGCCAUGACGGAGGCGCGGCGUACAGCUCAGUAACACGUGGCUAACCUGCCCUCGGGACGGGAAUACCCCCGGGAAACUGGGGCUAAUCCCCGAUAGGUGAAGAACUCUGGAAUGAUUCUCCGCCCAAAAGACGCUUAAAUCAUGCUUUUACGCGCCGCCCAAGGAUGGGGCCGCGACCGAUCAGGUAGUUGGUGAGGCAACGGCUCACCAAGCCUUUAACCGGUGCGGGCCGUGGGAGCGGAAGCCCGGAGAUGGGCACUGAGACAAGGGCCCAGGCCCUACGGGGCGCAGCAGUCGCUAAAACUUUGCAAUACACGAAAGUGUGACAGGGCUAUCCCGAGUGCCAUCCGCUGAGGAAGGCUUUUACCCAGUAUAUAAAGCUGGGAGAAUAAGGAGAGGGCAAGCCUGGUGUCAGCCGACGCGGUAAUACCAGCUCUCCGAGUGGUGUGGAUGUUUAUUGGGCCUAAAGCAUCCGUAGCUGGCCAAGUUAGUCCC
rnacentral:rRNA from 1 species